GGGCCUGCGUUUCAUUAGCUAGUUGGUAAGGUAACGGCUUACCAAGGCUACGACGGGUAGCUGGCCUGAGAGGGUGGCCAGUCACACUGGAACUGGAACACGGUCCAGACUCCUACGGGAGGCAGCAGUAGGGAAUCUUGCGCAAUGGGGGAAACCCUGACGCAGCGACGCCGCGUGGGUGAAGAAGGCCUUCGGGUUGUAAAGCCCUGUCGCGAGGGAAGAAACGGUCCCGGGUAACGCCGGUCCGCGACGGUACCUCGUGAGAAAGCACAGGCUAACUCCGUGCCAGCAGCCGCGGUAAUACGGAGUGUGCGAGCGUUGUUCGGAAUUACUGGGCGUAAAGCGAGUGUAGGCUGCUAGGUAAGUCGGAUGUGAAAGCCCACGGCUCAACCGUGGAGGGUCAUCCGAAACUGCUUAGCUUGAGUUCGGGAGAGGGUAGCGGAAUUCCCGGUGUAGAGGUGAAAUUCGUAGAUAUCGGGAGGAACACCAGCGGCGAAGGCGGCUGCCUGGACCGAUACUGACGCUGAGACUCGAAAGCGUGGGGAGCAAACAGGAUUAGAUACCCUGGUAGUCCACGCCGUAAACGAUGAACACUAGAUGUCGGGC
rnacentral:rRNA from 1 species